GGACACACAAGCACAGACCACAGGCCUGUCUGACACUCAAAGAUAGGGUUGUGGACACACAAGCACAGACCACAGGCCUGUCUGACAUUCACAGAUAGGGCUGUGGACACAUACCGGUUUGACAUCUGAUCCUGAAUCAUCCUCUCUCUCUCUCUCUCUGAAACCUGUUCCCUACAUAGGCCCCAAUUAAAUGUAGUGCACUAGAAGGGGAAUAGGGUGGCAUUUGGGUCCCAUCCUCUCUGAUCCUGUAUCCAACCACCUCAGCUGGUUCACAGACAGUCCCGAGUCUGGACCUGGUCGUUGCUGCUGUUCCUUCGCUUGGCCUGCAGUUGUCGCUUCCAUUUGGUGGAACAGAGAGACAGACUAAAGAGGCAGCUGUCUGAGCCCAGAGGAGAAUGGGUGGGUGUGUGUGAGAGCUGAUCCAUAGUGGCAGGGUGAGUGCUAUCUGAGCCUUUUCAGACUACAAGGGUGUAACGACAGAGUUAACAGCACAAAAUGUGCUUUAUUUUACAUAAUCAUUUAAUCUGCAUGAUGUUUAGCCUAGCAUGGGUCGUGGGCUGGGAUUGAAGGAUACGUGCAGACAUGGUGUAAUCUAGCCUAUAUAAACUACACCUUAAAGCCACAUGAAACUGAAUGACAACAGGCAACAUAUCAUUUCCUUCCACCUUUUGCAGCCUUAUAUAUGAGUAUAUAUGAGUGCUGGUUGCCAAGAAACCCCCUCAGAUCCUUUCAGAACAAACAGGUCUCUGUCACCAACACUCAGCCUUCUCUUGACACAGGUCUGGCUGUAAGGGACAAGAGGACGUUUCUGGUCCCUGACAUCAUGGAUCCAAAAUAUCCUCUUCACUAUUAUCUUCACCUUCUUUAUUCCUCUCUCUCUCCACACCCUUGUUUGUCUCUUCUCCCUCCACCCCCCAUUUUCUGCACUCCUCUCUCUCCCGCUCUGCACUUCUAUUUCAUCUCUCCUCUCUGUCUCUGUCUCUCUCUGUCCUGUCCUACCUCUCAUCCUGAAGCAGCACACCAUGCUGUGGCUGGUCAAACGGAACCAAGUCAGGUGUUUCAGUGAGGUUUGGUCCCCUUCAACCAGCUACUGCGUGGUGCAUUCAGUCAGCAGACAGACACUGACAACAGAAAUGAAAGACAGAGUAGCAGAUGUAGACUAAAACUGCUGCAUGCCUUUGUGUCUGAAGCCAAGUAAAUGUACUGUCUUUUUUUGUACACAUCGGUUACUUUUAAAGUAUUUGUGUGGUGCUGAUUUUUAUGUUCUGUUCGAAAAUAAUAAAAUAUUG
rnacentral:lncRNA from 1 species